rnacentral:rRNA from 1 species
AACGAACGCUGGCGGCAUGCCUAACACAUGCGAGUCGAACGAUGCCUUCGGGCAUAGUGGCGCACGGGUGCGUAACGCGCGGGAAUCUGCCUUUCGGUUCGGAAUAACUCAGGGAAACUUGAGCUAAUACCGGAUAACGUCGCAAGACCAAAGAUUUAUCACCGAAAGAUGAGCCCGCGUAGGAUUAGCUAGUUGGUGAGGUAAAGGCUCACCAAGGCGACGAUCCUUAGCUGGUCUGAGAGGAUGAUCAGCCACACUGGGACUGAGACACGGCCCAGACUCCUACGGGAGGCAGCAGUGGGGAAUAUUGGACAAUGGGCGAAAGCCUGAUCCAGCAAUGCCGCGUGAGUGAUGAAGGCCUUAGGGUUGUAAAGCUCUUUUACCCGGGAAGAUAAUGACGGUACCGGGAGAAUAAGCCCCGGCUAACUCCGUG